GCAUCAUUGGUCUAGUGGUAGAAUUCAUCGUUGCCAUCAACCUUUGGGGAAUUCGAUGAGGCCCGUGUUCGAUUCACGGAUGAUGCA